rnacentral:rRNA from 1 species
CCCGCUGAACUUAAGCAUAUCAAUAAGCGGAGGAAAAGAAACUAACAAGGAUUCCCCUAGUAACUGCGAGUGAAGCGGGAAAAGCUCAAAUUUAAAAUCUGGCGGUUCUUGUAGCCGUCCGAGUUGUAAUUUAGAGAAGCGUUAUCCGCGCUGGACCGUGUACAAGUCUCCUGGAAUGGAGCGUCAUAGAGGGUGAGAAUCCCGUCUUUGACACGGACUGCCAGGGCAUUGUGAUGCGCUCUCAAAGAGUCGAGUUGUUUGGGAAUGCAGCUCAAAAUGGGUGGUAAAUUCCAUCUAAAGCUAAAUAUUGAGGAGAGACCGAUAGCGAACAAGUACCGUGAGGGAAAGAUGAAAAGAACUUUGGAAAGAGAGUUAAACAGUACGUGAAAUUGCUGAAAGGGAAACGCUUGAAGUCAGUCGCGUUGUCCGGGGAUCAACCUUGCUUUUGCUGGGCGUACUUCCCGGUUGACGGGUCAGCAUCAAUUUUGACCGUUGGAUAAAGUCUAGGGGAAUGUGGCAUCUUCGGAUGUGUUAUAGCCCUUGGUCGCAUACAACGGUUGGGAUUGAGGAACUCAGCACGCCGCAAGGCCGGGUAUUCGUACCACGUUCGUGCUUAGGAUGCUGGCAUAAUGGCUUUAAUCGACCCGUCUUGAAACACGG